CGAAGCUUGACGGAUGAUUUCUUCGGAAUGAAACCAGAUAUGACUUAGUGGCGGACGGGUGAGUAACACGUGAGCAACCUGCCUUUCAGAGGGGGAUAACGGCUGGAAACGGUCGCUAAUACCGCAUGACGUGUUCGGAUGGCAUCAUCUGAACAUCAAAGAUUUAUCGCUGAAAGAUGGGCUCGCGUCUGAUUAGAUAGUUGGUGGGGUAACGGCCUACCAAGUCUACGAUCAGUAGCCGGACUGAGAGGUUGAACGGCCACAUUGGGACUGAGAUACGGCCCAGACUCCUACGGGAGGCAGCAGUGGGGAAUAUUGCACAAUGGGGGAAACCCUGAUGCAGCAACGCCGCGUGAAGGAUGACGGUUUUCGGAUUGUAAACUUCUUUUCUUAGUGACGAAGACAGUGACGGUAGCUAAGGAAUAAGCAUCGGCUAACUACGUGCCAGCAGCCGCGGUAAUACGUAGGAUGCAAGCGUUAUCCGGAUUUACUGGGUGUAAAGGGAGCGCAGGCGGGACUGCAAGUUGGAUGUGAAAUACCGUGGCUUAACCACGGAACUGCAUCCAAAACUGUAGUUCUUGAGUGAAGUAGAGGCAAGCGGAAUUCCGAGUGUAGCGGUGAAAUGCGUAGAUAUUCGGAGGAACACCAGCGGCGAAGGCGGCUUGCUGGGCUUUAACUGACGCUGAGGCUCGAA
rnacentral:rRNA from 1 species